rnacentral:rRNA from 1 species
GUUCCCGUGACUCACUUUAGUGAGGCACGUGUAUGGCUGAUAGGCUAAUGCAUAUAAGGGGUUGUGAUAUAACACGAGACCAAGCCAGAGUACUGAAGUGAAGACUACUUCGCACUGAGCAAAAUACACUGUGAACGCAUAGCGCUGAUUUUGGCAAAGUGAAAAUUAUUCAACGUAUUUCCGAUACGUUUCAUGAUUUUCACAAAGCCAAAAUCUAGCGAUCUGUGCUCACAGGCGCAUUUUGUCCAGCGCGAAGUAGUCUAACUUCAGGAGUCUGGUUUGCGAUAGCAGACUAUCAUUUGCUAGUAAGGUAAGAAAACGGCGUGGUUAGCUGAAUAGUUUGAAUGACUAACCAAAGGACGUGAAAGUCGCGUAAGCGAAAACGACGCUGACCUUAUACGUGUUUUAUCGAGUAGGACGGGGCACGAGAAACCCUGUUUGAAUCCGGCAGGACCACCUGCCAAGGCUAAAUAUAAUGUACGAUCGAUAGUGAACUAGUACCGCGAGGGAAAGGUGAAAAGAACCCCGGGAGGGGAGUGAAAUAGAUCCUGAAAUUGUGUGCUUACAAGGAGUCGGAGCGGAUUUAUUCCGUGACGGCGUGCUUUUUGUAGAACGAUCCAGCGAGUUAAUUUCUGAUGCAAGGUUAAGUCAAGUGACGGAGCCACAGUGAAAGCGAGCCUGAAUAGGGCGAUAUAGUAUCAGGAAUUAGACCCGAAACCGGGUGACCUAACCAUGGGCAGGUUGAAGCUACUGUAAUAGGUAGUGAAGGACCGAACCGUCGUACGCAGCAAAGUGCUCGGAUGACCUGUGGUUAGAGGUGAAAUGCCAAUCGAACUCGGAGAUAGCUGGUUCUCCUCGAAAUAGCUUUAGGGCUAGCGUCAAUUAAUUAGCAGACGGGGGUAGAGCUCUGUCAAGGACUGGGGUCCGCAAGGAUACCCACCCUUAACAAACUACGAAUACCGUCUGUGGUACAUUGGCAGUUAGAACGUCGGGGCUAAGCUCGGCGCUCGAAAGGGAAACAGCCCAGACCAUCGUCUAAGGUCCCUAAAUAUACACUCAGUGGGAAACAAGGUGAGAUUUCUUAAACAGCUAGGAUGUUGGCUUAGAAGCAGCCAUUCAUUUAAAGAGUGCGUAACAGCUCACUAGUCAAGAGAUCUUGCGUGGAAAAUGUAACGGGGCUCAAGUGUAUUACCGAAGACAUGGAUGUGUGUGCCUCACCAAGGUGAGAGCACGGGAUUAGGGAUUAGGAAAUAGGGAAUAGGGAAAAGACGAUUUGUUUUUCUUCCCCCAAUACCCAUUUUCCAAUCCUCACACCCGUGCAUCACUUUAGUGAGGCACAUACGUGGUAGAGGAGCGUUCCUGUCAGCAGUGAAGUUCAACUGGAAAGUUGGGUGGAGCGGCAGGAAGUGAGAAUGCUGGAAUGAGUAACCAUAAGACGGGUGAGAAUCCCGUCGGCCGUAAGAGCAAGGUUUCCUGAGCCAUGGUAAUCAUCUCAGGGUUAGUCGGGCCUAAGCCGAGGCGCAUAGCGUAGGCGAUGGACAUCAGGUUAAUAUUCCUGAACCGGUUAUAAUUUGUACACUGUUCACGGUGAAGUAGUCGAAGCGGAUUCAUGGUAUGUAUCCGUCCAACCUAGCGGGAACGCAAAGGGAGUGAAAGUUAUCCUUCGGGAUGACGAUUUUGAUCAAAGCACUGGCUAGAAAAGCAGAUGUACGCGUGAUUAUAGCCGCCCGUACCGCAAACCAACACAGGUGCUCGAGUCGAGUAGACUCAGGCUUACGAGAGAACCUUCGCUAAGGAACUCGGCAAUACAGCGACCGUAACUUCGGGAUAAGGUCUGCCCCCACAUCAUUCGAUGUGAGCCGUGUUCAACUAACUUAGUAGAGGUGGUUAGAAUGAAUAAUGAGUACGCAUUAUAUAGAAAUAUAUAGUGUGUCAAAACCUUUUAAUUACUAAAAUUUUUACUGAGAUAGACAAAUCAUGAUAAUGAUUCUUGAGCACGACCUCUCAUAUCUAAUGAUGUGGGGGCCGCAGCAAAAGAGCCCACGGAACUGUUUACCAAAAACACAGGUCUCUGCUAAUUCGAAAGAAGAUGUAUAGGGGCUGACUCCUGCCCAAUGCUGGAAGGUUAAGGGGAGCGCUUUACGGUGCGAACUGAAGCCCUAGUCAAUGGCGGCGGUAACUAUAACCGUCCUAAGGUAGCGAAAUUCCUUGUCAGGUAAGUUCUGACCCGCACGAAUGGAGUAAUCAUGUGGGCACUGUCUCAGCGAAGGACUCGGUGAAAGUGCAUUGGCGGUAAAGAUGCCGUCUGUCCGUACCAGGACGAAAAGACCCCAUGGAGCUUUACUACAGCUUUACAUUGAUCUGGGUUACAACAUGUGUAGCAUAGGUGGGAGCCAAUGAAACAGAUACGCUAGUAUUUGUGGAGGCGAAAUAUGAAAUACCACCCUUGUUGUGACUUUGAUCUCACCGUUACCAUUAUCUGGUAACGGGACCGUGUAUGGUGGGUAGUUUAACUGGGGCGGUUGCCUCCUAAAGAGUAGCGGAGGCGUUCAAAGGUUGGCUAGCAACGUAUGGAAAUCGUUGUGAUAGUGUAUGCGCACAAGCCAGCUUGACUGUGAGGGGUACAUCCCAAUCAGAGACGAAAGUCGGAGCAAGUGACCCGCUGUACGUACAUUUAUGUACAUGAACGUGGGAUCGACAGCGCACACGGAUAAAAGUUACCCUGGGGAUAACAGGCUUAUAGCGCCCAAUAGUUCACAUAGACGGCGCUGUUUGGCACCUCGAUGUCGGCUCAUCACAUCCUGGAGGGGGAGCACCUUCCAAGGGUUCGGCUGUUCGCCGAUUAAAGUGGUACGCGAGCUGGGUUCAGAACGUCGUGAGACAGUUCGGUUUAUAUCCGGUACGGACGAUAGGAAAUUUGAGGAGAUCUACCCCUAGUACGAGAGGACCGGGGCGGACAAACCUCUGGUGUAUCGAUUGUGGCCACCUGCUGCAUUGUCGAGUAGCUACGUUUGGAAUAGAUAAGCGCUGAAAGCAUAUUAAGCGCGAAACUAACUUCAAGAUAAGAUUUCCCUAUGAGGACACUGAAAGAAUAUCAGUUUGAUAGGUGCAAGGUGGAAGCGUGGCAACACGUGUAGCUAAAGCAUACUAAUAGUCCCAUCGCCUUUUUAU